UACGUAGGAGGCAAGCGUUGUCCGGAAUUACUGGGCGUAAAGCGCGUGUAGGUGGUGGGACAAGUCUGCUGUGAAAGCGCCUGGCUUAACCGGGCGAGGUCGGCGGAAACUGUUCGACUCGAGGACGGUAGAGGGGGGUGGAAUUCCCGGUGUAGUGGUGAAAUGCGUAGAGAUCGGGAGGAACACCUGUGGCGAAGGCGGCCCCCUGGGCCGGCCCUGACACUGAGACGCGAAAGCGUGGGGAGCAAACGGG
rnacentral:rRNA from 1 species